rnacentral:lncRNA from 1 species
GGCGCGGAGGGGGCGGGGCCAGUCGGGACCCCCCGAGCGCCGCCGCCAUGCCCGAGGCCAAGGCCGCUGCCAAAAAAGAGGCGAAAAAGGAGAAAAAAGAGAAAAAAGAAGAGAAAAAAGAGGAGAAAAAAGAGGAACAAAAUGAGGAGAAAAAAGACGAAAUUGGGCAAAAGGCGGCGGGGGAGGGGCCCGAGGAGCCCCCGAAAGAGCCCAAGGAUGAUUUGGGUGAGUUUUGGGGUUUUUUCCCCCCAAAUUUUUGGUGCCCUCCCCCCUCCCCCCUCCCCCUCCCCAAAAUUUGGGGUUCUCGCCCCCCCCUGACCCCCCCGCCCCCCCAGAGGAGCUGAACCCCCCCGGACCCCCCGACCCGGACGGGCUGUUCCUGAGCCAG